CGAAUUCGCCCUUCCAGAGUUUGAUCCUGGCUCAGGAUGAACGCUGGCGGCGUGCUUAACACAUGCAAGUCGAACGAUGAAGCCCAGCUUGCUGGGCGGAUUAGUGGCGAACGGGUGAGUAACACGUGAGUAACCUGCCCUUGACUCUGGGAUAAGCCCGGGAAACUGGGUCUAAUACCGGAUAGGAGCGCCUGUCGCAUGACGGGUGCUGGAAAGAUUUUUCGGUCAUGGAUGGACUCGCGGCCUAUCAGCUUGUUGGUGAGGUAAUGGCUCACCAAGGCGACGACGGGUAGCCGGCCUGAGAGGGUGACCGGCCACACUGGGACUGAGACACGGCCCAGACUCCUACGGGAGGCAGCAGUGGGGAAUAUUGCACAAUGGGCGGAAGCCUGAUGCAGCGACGCCGCGUGAGGGAUGACGGCCUUCGGGUUGUAAACCUCUUUCAGUAGGGAAGAAGCGAAAGUGACGGUACCUGCAGAAGAAGCACCGGCUAACNNCNUCGCCAGCAGCCGCGGUAAUACGUAGGGUGCGAGCGUUAUCCGGAAUUAUUGGGCGUAAAGAGCUCGUAGGUGGUUUGUCGCGUCUGUCGUGAAAGUCCGGGGCUUAACCCCGGNUCUGCGGUGGGUACGGGCAGACUAGAGUGCAGUAGGGGAGACUGGAAUUCCUGGUGUAGCGGUGGAAUGCGCAGAUAUCAGGAGGAACACCGAUGGCGAAGGCAGGUNUNUGGGCUGUAACUGACGCUGAGGAGCGAAAGCAUGGGGAGCGAACAGGAUUAGAUACCCUGNGUAGUCCAUGCCGUAAACGUUGGGGCACUAGGUGUGGGGGACCAUUCCACGNUUUCCGCGCCGCAGCUAACGCANUAAGUGCCCCGCNUGGGGAGUACNGCNGCAAGGCUAAAACUCAAAGGNAUUGACGGANGGGCGAAUUCCGCCGGCCGCCUUAU
rnacentral:rRNA from 1 species